AGAGUUUGAUCCUGGCUCAGGAUGAACGCUAGCUACGGGCUUAACACAUGCAAGUCGAACGGAUUCUGGAUUCGUCUGGAAUUAGUGGCAAACGGGUGAGUAACACGUAUCCAACCACCCUGCGACUCGGGGAUAGCCUCUUGAAAGGGAGAUUAAUAUCCGAUGUACUGUUUUUGGUGCAUGCCAUUUUCAGUAAAGUUUUUUUACGGUCGCUGACGGGGAUGCGUUCCAUUAGUUAGUUGGUGAGGUAACGGCUCACCAAGACAACGAUGGAUAGGGGAACUGAGAGGUUUGUCCCCCACACUGGAACUGAGACACGGUCCAGACUCCUACGGGAGGCAGCAGUGAGGAAUAUUGGUCAAUGGAGGCAACUCUGAACCAGCCAAGUCGCGUGAAGGAUGACUGCCCUACGGGUUGUAAACUUCUUUUUUAAGGGAAUAAAGUGAGCCACGUGUGGCUUUUUGCAUGUACCUUACGAAUAAGGAUCGGCUAACUCCGUGCCAGCAGCCGCGGUAAUACGGAGGAUCCUAGCGUUAUCCGGAUUUAUUGGGUUUAAAGGGAGCGUAGGCGGGGGGUCAAGUCAGCUGUGAAAUACGUACGCUUAACGUUCGUCUUGCAGUUGAAACUGGUUUUCUUGAGUGCGUAUGAGGCAGGCGGAAUUCGUGGUGUAGCGGUGAAAUGCUUAGAUAUCUGGAGGAACACCAAUGGCGAAGGCAGCCAUCUGGAUCAGUACUGACGCUGAGGCGCGAAGGUGCGGGGAGCAAACAGGAUUAGAUACCCUGGUAGUCCACGCAGUAAACGAUGAUUACUCGCUGUUUGCGAUACACAGUAAGCGGCUUAGCGAAAGCGUUAAGUAAUCCACCUGGGGAGUACGUUCGCAAGAAUGAAACUCAAAGGAAUUGACGGGGGCCCGCACAAGCGGAGGAACAUGUGGUUUAAUUUGAUGAUACGCGAGGAACCUUACCCGGGCGUGAAAUGCAUCUGACCGACUCAGAAAAGGGUGUUCCCUUCGGGGCAAAUGUGUAGGUGCUGCAUGGUUGUCGUCAGCUCGUGCCGUGAGGUGUCGGCUUAAGUGCCAUAACGAGCGCAACCCUCAUCAUUAGUUGCUAACAGGUUAAGCUGAGGACUCUAGUGAGACUGCCAUCGUAAGAUGCGAGGAAGGUGGGGAGGACGUCAAAUCAGCACGGCCCUUAUGUCCGGGGGGACACACGUGUUACAAUGGAUGGUACAACAGGCAGCUACUAGGUGACUAGAUGCUAAUCCCAAAAACCAUUCUCAGUUCGGAUCGAAGUCUGCAACUCGACUUCGUGAAGCUGGAUUCGCUAGUAAUCGCGCAUCAGCCACGGCGCGGGGAAUACGUUCCCGGGCCUUGUACUCACCGCCCGUCA
rnacentral:rRNA from 1 species